rnacentral:rRNA from 1 species
GGGUAACCGUCGCCCCGACUGAUGGACAACCGAACGGAAACUCGGGCUAAUACCAAAUGUGCCCUACAGCUUUAAGGCUGGUGGGGAAAGGAAGCUUCGGCCUCCGCAUCGGGAUGGGCCCGCGGCCCAUUAGCUUGUUGGUGAGGUAACGGCUCACCAAGGCGACGAUGGGUAGCUGGUCUGAGAGGACGAUCAGCCACACUGGGACUGAGACACGGCCCAG